CCAGACCACCAUCUAAGUGAAAUUUCUUUCUGAUUGACUUCACCACUGGUUGCCGUGGGAAGUUAUGACAUCACAGAGUAGUCGCUAACACUGAACAGCGGGGUAAGGGAAAGGACACCCUUCCAGCACCCUCUCUCACUGCUUUAAUUAGCAAUCGGGACUCGAGCUGAUCAUGUGAGGAGCCCCGCUGUGUUUCUGGACCCGCGUUGGGUAGGUGCCUGCCUGGACGCUGCUGGGUUGGUGGCAAAGCCAUUGCAACGUGUACGCAAACCACAUCUGUAAUCAAAGAAUGCUCCAGUGAAUGCACAAGAGGAUAAUUAAGCAAUGCGAUUUGUAAAGACAGAAGUACUGGAGUAACCUUUGAAACAAAAGACUUCAAAGUGACAGCAGCCUGUGCCUCUGGCUAUACUGAAUCUUCACACCCGGAAAUGUCUGAAUAUCAUUUGAAGCUUCUGCUGCCUGAUGCAGAUUACACUCUUGCUGAGAUAAUAGCAAAGGAAAAACAAAUAUUGCCGGAGGAUGAAUUGCCGAUAGACCAGACACAGGGACAAGAGAUAUCAACUGGCAGCAGUCCCCAUGGCAGUCUCAAGGCUGUCUGCAGGAAAAGGGUAUUAUGGGAUUGUUAACUUAGAAUAGUCACCUCUCUGGGCAUAAAAUGCUUCCAAGGUACAGCCCUCAGACUGGUGCCCCAUCCAAAUGAUACGAGGAGUCCCGCAAUCUCAUUUCACUUAUAAUACAGCAGUACAGAAGCGUGUCUCUUGGUCUUCAGCUUAGAAGUCUUCCAUCUUAUCUGAAUUAUCUAGUGUGCACUUUGCAGUGUGAGGAUCCUGAUCCUGAGUCAACUCUGAGCAAAUGAGCUUGCUCAUAGCAGAGGAAUUCUGGCGCCGUGGCCAGAUGUUCCCCUCGAGGCAUUCCACUUCCUUCUCAGCAUAGCGUGUAGCCUAGGAGAUGGCUAUCUGAAAGAAGAUGGUAUCCCCUUUUGAAAAGAAUAUUUAGAAGAGCUUUUUGAUGUAGGAUA